rnacentral:rRNA from 1 species
AACGCGAAGAACCUUACCUACUCUUGACAUCCAGAGAACUUAGCAGAGAUGCUUUGGUGCCUUCGGGAACUCUGAGACAGGUGCUGCAUGGCUGCCGUCAGCUCGUGUUGUGAAAUGUUGGGUUAAGUCCCGCAACGAGCGCAACCCUUAUCCUUUGUUGCCAGCGGUCCGGCCGGGAACUCAAAGGAGACUGCCAGUGAUAAACUGGAGGAAGGUGGGGAUGACGUCAAGUCAUCAUGGCCCUUACGAGUAGGGCUACACACGUGCUACAAUGGCAUAUACAAAGAGAAGCGACCUCGCGGGAGCAAGCGGACCUCAUAAAGUAUGUCGUAGUCCGGAUUGGAGUCUGCAACUCGACUCCAUGAAGUCGGAAUCGCUAGUAAUCGUAGAUCAGAAUGCUACGGUGAAUAUGUUCCCGGGUCUUGUACACACCG